rnacentral:rRNA from 1 species
GACGAACGCUGGCGGCGUGCUUAACACAUGCAAGUCGAACGGUGAAGCGCCUUCCUUUUUGGUGGGUGUGGAUGAGUGGCGAACGGGUGAGUAACACGUGAGUAACCUGCCCCCUUCUUCUGGAUAACCGCAUGAAAGUGUGGCUAAUACGGGAUAUUCUGGGUCUGUCGCAUGAUGGGUCUGGGAAAGAUAUUGUUUCGGUGGGGGAUGGGCUCGCGGCCUAUCAGCUUGUUGGUGGGGUGAUGGCCUACCAAGGCGGUGACGGGUAGCCGGCCUGAGAGGGGGGACGGACACAGGGGGAAUGAGACACGGCCGGGACCCAGACGGGGGGAGGGAGGGGGGAAGAUGGCAGAGGGGGCGCAGGCUGGAUGCGGCGAGGCCGGGUGAGGGAGGGGGGCUUUGGGUUUGGGAACCUCUUCCGCAGGGGAAGGAGGCUUGCCGGGUUUGUGGGGGGGUGGAGGGGGGGUGAAAAAGAGGCGCGGACAAACAAGGUC